rnacentral:snoRNA from 1 species
GAGGGCACCUUCUCAAUAAGUCCUUGUAUCUCUCCCAUGCAUCGUAAAGUGUUUCUAAAUCCAUUUGCAGAAAAGAAGAGAUAUCAUUAUGUAAUUU